AGGGCACCACCAGGAGUGGAGCCUGCGGCUUAAUUUGACUCAACACGGGAAAACUCACCCGGCCCGGACACCGUAAGGAUUGACAGACUGAGAGCUCUUUCUUAAUUCUGUGGGUGGUGGUGCAUGGCCGUUCUUAGUUGGUGGAGCGAUUUGUCUGGUUAAUUCCGAUAACGAACGAGACUCUGGCCUAUUAAAUAGACGGUAUAUCGAAAAGUAUAUCGCGCUUCUUAGAGGGACAAGCGGCGUCUAGCCGCAUGAAAUAGAGCAAUAACAGGUCUGUGAUGCCCUUAGAUGUCCGGGGCUGCACGCGCGCUACACUGAAAGAAUCAGCGUGCGCUUUACCUAGUUCGGGAAGAACCGGGUAACCCAAGUAAAUUCUUUCGUGCUUGGGAAAGGAAUUGCAAUUUAUUUCCCUUAAACGAGGAAUUCCCAGUAAAUGGCGGGUCAUAAGCUCGCGGUUGAUUACGUCCCUGCCCUUUGUCAAAACCGCCGUCGCUCAACGAUUGGAUGACUUAGUGA
rnacentral:rRNA from 1 species